GACACGGCCCAGACUCCUACGGGAGGCAGCAGUGGGGGAUAUUGCACAAUGGAGGAAACUCUGAUGCAGCGACGCCGCGUGAGGGAAGACGGUCUUCGGAUUGUAAACCUCUGUCUUUGGGGAAGAAAAUGACGGUACCCAAAGAGGAAGCUCCGGCUAACUACGUGCCAGCAGCCGCGGUAAUACGUAGGGAGCGAGCGUUGUCCGGAAUUACUGGGUGUAAAGGGAGCGUAGGCGGGCGAGAAAGUUGAAUGUUAAAUCUACCGGCUUAACUGGUAGCUGCGUUCAAAACUUCUUGUCUUGAGUGAAGUAGAGGCAGGCGGAAUUCCUAGUGUAGCGGUGAAAUGCGUAGAUAUUAGGAGGAACACCAGUGGCGAAGGCGGCCUGCUGGGCUUUAACUGACGCUGAGGCUCGAAAGCGUGGGGAGCAAACAGGAUUAGAUACCCUGGUAGUCCACGCUGU
rnacentral:rRNA from 1 species